CUGCAAACAGAAUCACAGAGCUAAAGGUCAGGUGUAAGACUUAGUUGAGAAUGACACUUCAAUAAAGCCUGGUGGUAAUGUUUAUUGAGCAUUUACCAUGUUCUAAACAUCAUGCUAAGCACUUUAUGUAGAUCAUCUCACUUAAUCCUCACUGCAUUAUGAGCUGGUUUCAAGUAUUAGCACCCUCAUCUUACAGUUGGGAAAAACUGAGGUUCAGAUUAGUUCAUUCAUUUGCUCAAAGUCACAUAGCCCAUAUGUGGCAGAACCAGCAUCUGAACUCAGAUCACUGCCUCCAAAAGCUGAGCUCUUAAAACUAUGUCUUAUAUUAUUAAACAUCAAACAUUAUAAAGCGGUGAAACUCUGUUCUUGUCAUCUGUGUGAAAAACAGUUUUGAUCCAAGAUGUGAUAAAAUCAUUCAAUUAGAGAAUCUUUGAAUUGUAAUGGGUCCUGUGGGAUUAUCAAACCCAACCUCCCACUCAAUGGAGGAAUCCCCUUUCAGUCUAUAGGCCGGUGCAUGUAACAAGUGCUUAAUUGUGUUGAACUGGAGAAGACAUUCUGGCAGCUGAUUAUCCAGUUUCUGCAUGAACCUCUCCCAGUGAUGAGGAGUUCAUUGCCUCCCAACGCAGCCUCUUCCAUGUUAAAAAGCUCUGCUUGCCAGAAUCUUCUUUCUCUGCUGAAAACGACAUUGAUCUGUAGUUUUCCAUCUUUCUCUCAUUGCUCCUCGUUGCAGGAAAAAAGUUGACAGUUUUACGAUUUGAACAUUUGACUGAAAAGUUUUUUGCUGCCAUUCAGUCACCACAUCCAUCGUUGCCUGCCCUUCCCAACCUCCAAAAGGAAAGGGAAACAAAACAUUACGGUUGUAUUUUGUUUCCUCAAGUUUGGUUAAGUUAGAGCAAGAUUUGUUCGCUCAAGACGCUUCUUCCUUAUCCUUUUUAACAUUAAAAUGUUGGAAAGGAAUAAAAGCAAAAAAGGAACAGAACAGUAGAGUCUACUUUCCAAUUACAUCAAUAAAUGGGUGCACGGAGCAUGUUGAAUUCGAUAGAAAUGUUUGCUACGCUACUGGGGCAGGGAGGAAGCCUGUGGUUAAAUCUAUCAAAAGUUUUUGUUGUUUUUACAAAAGUACCGGAGCCAUCUGUGUGCGACCCAGCCAUUAGCUUGGGGUCCUCUCCCUGCAGAAGGAACAAUUAGAAACACCAUGUGCUGGUUCUCAAAACUUGUGCCCUGCACCUCCACCCAGAAGGCUAGAUUUUCCAUUAGUCCCUUAUUUCUAUCUUAUUGGUAAGGAGCUGCUUCUAAACCUUUCUCUUUUCUCCUGACUGAAGGAGGAGGUUAAAUACCCCUUAGAUUUAGGAAGGCCCAGGGAACCACCGAGACGGCGAGACCUCCUGGAUUCCUAGAGAACACUGAGGGGGGGGGAGGGGCUGUGACGCACUUCCGGUAGGUUUUCCCGGACUUGUGUUUGUCUUGAACGUCUGAUUUUCGGCUCGUUGUCUCUCUGCCCGGGCGACCCAGGCCUUCUGAGUUCCCGUCUGCGGGUGGCGGUGGGGACACGAGAUACAUGGUCACUGUCCCUAGCAUCUGGCCCCGAAUCAUAGGAAAACCUUACCAGAAAGUGCAGCUCCGGUGGUUUGGAUCCAGGAAGAAAGAACAACCUAGAGAUGUUCCAGAAAAAAAGAAGCUACAAAAAUUAGGGUGGUCGCAGAUUUGAACCUGUCAAAUCACUGAUAGCAGAACUAAGAGAAGCUCGUUAAAAUCAGCAUGAGAUAAGAGCCAGUCAGAAGAAUAAAGUGAAGUAGUCUGUUCUAGGCAGAGGAAACUGAAAAGGAGGUCAGUGUGGCUGCCCCAGGAUGAACUAGAAGGAGAUGCAUCCAACAUGCCUAGCCAGAGGCAGAAAAUAGAGCCAAAACUGGACAGGUGGACUCUCAGAGUUCACCCUAACAUCAGAGUUAUCGCUGAGAUAACCCUACUAAUUUCAAAGGUCGUGAACCUUCAUAUCAAGGCAAUCUUGUCUUGAUCUCGACAUCUCUGACCCUUGCUCAGUAUUGUUUUCAUUGGCUGCAAUAUAAAGAUGGUAAGUGAGAAGACACACGCCCUCUCCCCCUGUGCCUGGAAUAUCUAUUCAACACCACACAGUUAAUCCAAGGGUAAAGGAAAACAAUAGAUAGCUUUGCUCCUGUGGUAUUUCAUUCAUAAGACAAGUCACCUUUUGGGUAGUGAAUUCUCUCGUUGCCCAGUAAGUUGCCUAUGACCAAGGAAAUCGAAUCUCAUAGAACUCUCCCCUGUUGAACCAUUCCUGAGCUGUGGGUUUUCUGGUAUCUUCAAAGAUGAGAGCUGCCACCACAUCUCUUCUCCCAUGCACAACACUGGUAAGUUUUCUCUCCAGGAGAUUCUAUAAUGUAAAAUUAAGCUGGUGCCAUGACCAAAACUUUCCCACAUCCAGGAUUUGCAGGGCUUCUCUGCUGUGCAUCAUGAAGGUUAUGCUGGGGCAGAAGCCACCUGACACCAUUGCAUUGUAGGGUCUCCCCCUAGCUGGAUUCUCUGGGGCACCAUGAGGCAUGAGCUUUACCUCAAGCUUUUCCCACACAUGACACAAGGACGAAGUUUUGGCUCAGUGUCGCCACCUAGUGCUCAUGAGGGUGCUGAGCUCUACCUGAAGCUUUUGCCACUCUCACUACAUUCUUUGCUUUCAUUUCAAUGUGGAUUCUCUGAUGCACCAUCUGUGUGGGGCACGUAAGGUUUUCUUACAGUCAAGGCAACGAUAUGGCCUCUUCCUGGAGUGGGGCAUGGUGAGGUGUGAGCCAGAAGCAAAGCUUUCUCCCUCCUCACUGCACACCCUGAGGCUCUCCUGGGUGUGGACUCCCAGCUCUGCUCUGGCUGGAACGUGUGCCACAUUCCUUACACUGGUAGGGCUUUUCUCCGGCACGUGUCUUCUGAUAUCACACCACGUUAGAGCUCUGUCCAGAGCUUUUUCCAUUCUCCCCUGUGUGGUUCAUGAAGACAGCAAGGAUGGUACUUUCACCAAAAACUUGCUUCUGGGGUAAUUUCCCCAGGCGUCUCUGUGAACAUCUCCACAUUUCCCCACUCUCCCGCCCAAACUUUCACGGCUUUGCCCACCAUCACCACUAGUCUAUUGUUUGGUUCCUCCAAAGGAGGUCCUGGAAGUUUCACUUUGUCCCACCACUUUCUGCCUUGAAGCCUCUUUGUUGCUUUUUUUCACUUUAGAAUCUAAAGGAAAAAAUAAGAAGUGAUGGUGUUAGUCUUGGAAUAAAAUUUGGAACCGAGGGAAAGGAUAAUUGGAACAAUUACAUUAGACUAAGCUAAAGCACAAGUUCUUCUGGAUAAGGGAAUUUAUGAACUCAAAGGUAG
rnacentral:lncRNA from 1 species